rnacentral:rRNA from 1 species
UGGGCGUAAGGGCUCGCAGGCGGUUUCUUAAGUCUGAUGUGAAAGCCCCCGGCUCAACCGGGGAGGGUCAUUGGAAACUGGGGAACUUGAGUGCAGAAGAGGAGAGUGGAAUUCCACGUGUAGCGGUGAAAUGCGUAGAGAUGUGGAGGAACACCAGUGGCGAAGGCGACUCUCUGGUCUGUAACUGACGCUGAGGAGCGAAAGCGUGGGGAGCGAACAGGAUUAGAUACCCUGGUAGUCCACGCCGUAAACGAUGAGUGCUAAGUGUUAGGGGGUUUCCGCCCCUUAGUGCUGCAGCUAACGCAUUAAGCACUCCGCCUGGGGAGUACGGUCGCAAGACUGAAACUCAAAGGAAUUGACGGGGGCCCGCACAAGCGGUGGAGCAUGUGGUUUAAUUCGAAGCAACGCGAAGAACCUUACCAGGUCUUGACAUCCUCUGACAAUCCUAGAGAUAGGACGUCCCCUUCGGGGGCAGAGUGACAGGUGGUGCAUGGUUGUCGUCAGCUCGUGUCGUGAGAUGUUGGGUUAAGUCCCGCAACGAGCGCAACCCUUGAUCUUAGUUGCCAGCAUUCAGUUGGGCACUCUAAGGUGACUGCCGGUGACAAACCGGAGGAAGGUGGGGAUGACGUCAAAUCAUCAUGCCCCUUAUGACCUGAGCUACACACGUGCUACAAUGGACAGAACAAAGGGCAGCGAAACCGCGAGGGUUAGCCAAUCCCACAAAUCUGUUCUCAGUUCGGAUCGCAGUCUGCAACUCGACUGCGUGAAGCUGGAAUCGCUAGUAAUCGCGGAUCAGCAU